CAGACUUCCUGCGAAGAUCUGAUUCACGGAAAGCAGGGGAGGGGGAGGGGCAGGAAGACAACUGCGGGGCCGGACGGCAUGGGCAUUGCCAUGGAAGACAUGGUCUUCUUCCUGCCUAGUAUGAAGAUUCAAAGAUACCAGCUACAGUGGUAGCAGAGCAGACUGCCUGCCUUCUGGAGACUGAAGUUUCCAUGUCUCAGCCUCUGUUGGAAAGCGGUCCCAGCUGUGCAGAGAAUGCUUCUUUCCACUGGAGAGUGACUUUAGCAAGAAACACAGGUCAUGUGCUUGGAGAACACAAGUCCAGGCAUGUCUGGUGGGCAUUGCUGAGUCCCCAGGCAAAGGUGAGCAAUCCCCCUCGUGUGGCCUUAUUCAGCACUUGCAACCCCUCCCAGCUUGGUAUCAUCUAGGAACUUUAUUAUCUAAAUCAUUGAUGAAGAUAUUGAACAGAACCGAUCCCUGCAGGGCCCCACUUGUUAUGCCCUUCCAGCCUGACUGAACCACUGUUUCUGGAGAGUAGGUAUCAAUUUUCCAACCUGUUAUGCACCCAUCUUAUGGUAGCUCCAUCUAGGUUCCAUUUCCCUAGUUUGAGAAAUAUUGUUUAUAAUGUACAAGUUACCUAAAACCCAAAGGGUUGAUGUAUUAAAGACAAUUGGAUAAAGAUUACCUUUGUGCAUUAAAUUAUACAAGACCUAAGUGAACAUGGACCCAAACUGGAGAAGACACUGGACUUGAAACUAAAGGACAGGACUAGAGCACCAGAUUAAGGGAUCAGAUGAGGUCACGACUAACAUGGUAACUUGGGUCCAUUUACCAGUUCCAUCUUGUCUGUUAAUGGCUGGAAGACAUUUGUGUCCAGAUGUUAUCAGUGACACUAGUUCUGUCUGAAAUUCUAUAAAAUAAGGUGAAAAUUAAUUCACCCAAAGUUGAGUUCCCAGCUUUUACAGCCAACAGCAUUGAGCCACACCACUCAUGAAAAUGGCUUUUACAAAUAAAGUUACUCAGUAAAAAUCUUACCUAGUUACAUCAAAAGGCAAAGUGCCAGAUCCUCAGCUGAGAAAGGUUUAUGCUUGUUGCAUCUGAGAAGAGCAGGGGUAGGAGCAGAAAAGUGGAGUGUAGGCCACCUGUUUUGUCUUACUCUAUAGACCAGCAUUUGAGUUUUUAGCUCCUUCUUCCAUACUAGUGUCAAUUGGCAGGAUGAAUGGGUGUAAGGGACAAACAUGAGAUCUGGUACUAGUAGUCUUCCACCCCCAUUCCCACUACAUACUGAACCCCUUUCUGCCUGACCCUUACCCAAUCUGUAAAGCUCCCUAUGCCCCCAUUUUCACCAGUAGUAGUGUGUUGCACUGACCAUAUUAGAAUGGCUUUCUGCCCUUCUCUUCACAGGUGACAAUGGAUCCUGCUCCGAGAGCAGUCACCUGACCCACUGAUCACAGCCAGGUGCCAGUCAAUGUGUGGUUGGAGUAACUGUCCUCUCCAGCUUCUCCUGGAAGGACAGGAACGGUCACUUGUACCACAUGAGCUGGACGAGCAGAUUUCAGCCAAGGACCAGAAUGAAUCACACACUGAUUUUCAAAUCAUCCAGCGUUGUGAAUCGUAUGGGGAACUCCAUUUAAGCUCGAUGCCCUCACAGAGGCAACGGACCGAAUAUAUCUGGACAGUGCGGAACAGACAUUUCUGCGGGGAAGACCGGGAGCGCGUCGGGAUCACCGUGCACGUAGCGAUCGAGGCUGUCGGAAGCCAGAGCGUGGCCGGUGUUUGCUAACAGGCCGCCGGGGUCAGAAUUGCCGGACCAGGGCCGUGGCGAUACGCAGACAUUCAGGGCGUGACCUGCAAGUAGUUUGGCUGUUUGUGAGCGGCCCUGCUCGAGAGCCACAUCAGCAAGGCAUUGUGAGGCGCCCCAUGUUGCAGGGGAGGUAGUGUAUUCGUAGGAUGAUUUUACAAAUUAUAAAACUCUUCACAUGUCACUAAAAUCCAGCCCAUCAGUUGGUUCCAGUUCUUCCACUUGGUACUCCUGGGGGAAUUCCGCACCACUGCGUAUGUGCAGAAUUUACAUCCCACGCAAAUUUCUUUGCUUCCCCACAGAAAAAUGACUUUUUGAUAAGGAAGCCAUGAGAGCGGUCACGCAACCUUCCCCAGCAGUACAUUUUGGUGUCCAGGACAGCCGGCAGAGAGAAAAGGAGCGUGCAGGCGUAAACAAGCCCCGGGGGAUUAUCCCGCCUCCGAGUAAAGACCGUGAACAUCGGGGGUAUAUAUAAAAGGCACAGAAGACACUCCUUCCUCCUGCACCUGGCGAGCGAAGGGACAGUGUGGGUCGCAGGCAGCCUAGGUUGAAAAUGCCGCUGCAGACUUUGACUUUGGGUGAGAGAAACGUCUUCAGCCAGGAGGUUAACCUGAUGGUUUGUAUCUAAAAAGCGUGCUAUGAUUUUGGUG